CGAAACGUGACAAGGGAACUCUGAGUGCCCGUAAAAUCGGGCUGUCCAUUGGUUUAAAUAACCAGUGAAGAAAGGGCCGGGCAAGACCGGUGCCAGCCGCCGCGGUAAUACCGGCGGCUCGAGUGGUGGCCACUAUUACUGGGCUUAAAGCGUUCGUAGCUGGUCUGUUAAGUCUCUGGGGAAAUCUUCCGGCUUAACCGGAAGGCGUCUCAGGGAUACUGGCAGACUAGGGACCGGGAGAGGUGAGAGGUACUCCAGGGGUAGGA
rnacentral:rRNA from 1 species